rnacentral:rRNA from 1 species
GACGAACGCUGGCGGCGUGCUUAACACAUGCAAGUCGAACGAUGAAGCCGGAGCUUGCUCUGGUGAAUUAGUGGCGAACGGGUGAGUAACACGUGAGUAACCUGCCCUUGACUCUGGGAUAACUGCGGGAAACUGUAGCUAAUACCGGAUACGACCCUCGGAGGCAUCUCCUGGGGGUGGAAAGAAUUUCGGUCAAGGAUGGACUCGCGGCCUAUCAGCUAGUUGGUGAGGUAAAGGCUCACCAAGGCGACGACGGGUAGCCGGCCUGAGAGGGUGACCGGCCACACUGGGACUGAGACACGGCCCAGACUCCUACUGGAGGCAGCAGUGGGGAAUAUUGCACAAUGGGCGCAAGCCUGGUGCAGCAACGCCGCGUGAGGGAUGACGGCCUUCGGGUUGUAAACCUCUUUUAGCAGGGAAGAAGAGAAAGAGACGGUACCUGCAGAAAAAGCACCGGCUAACUACGUGCCAGCAGCCGCCGUAA